UACGAAGGGGGCUAGCGUUGCUCGGAAUCACUGGGCGUAAAGGGCGCGUAGGCGGGUUUUUAAGUCAGGGGUGAAAUCCUGGAGCUCAACUCCAGAACUGCCUUUGAUACUGAAGAUCUUGAGUUCGGGAGAGGUGAGUGGAACUGCGAGUGUAGAGGUGAAAUUCGUAGAUAUUCGCAAGAACACCAGUGGCGAAGGCGGCUCACUGGCCCGGUACUGACGCUGAGGUGCGAAAGCGUGGGGAGCAAACAGG
rnacentral:rRNA from 1 species